CGGGGCCUUAUUCAGCUUGUUGGCGGGGUAACGGCCCACCAAGGCGACGACGGGUAGCUGGUCUGAGAGGACGGCCAGCCACACUGGGACUGAGACACGGCCCAGACUCCUACGGGAGGCAGCAGUGGGGAAUCUUGCGCAAUGGGCGAAAGCCUGACGCAGCGACGCCGCGUGGGGGAUGAAGGCCCUCGGGUUGUAAACCCCUUUCGGCAGGGACGAAGCGAAAGUGACGGUACCUGCAGAAGAAGCUCCGGCUAACUACGUGCCAGCAGCCGCGGUAAGACGUAGGGAGCGAGCGUUGUCCGGAUUUAUAGGGCGUAAAGCGCGCGUAGGCGGCCGUGCAAGUCGGUUGUGAAAUUCCGGGGCUCAACCCCGGGACUGCGUCCGAUACUGUGCGGCUCGAGGCAGGCAGGGGAGAGUGGAAUUCCCGGUGUAGCGGUGAUAUGCGCAGAUAUCGGGAGGAACACCGGUGGCGAAGGCGGCUCUCUGGGCCUGUCCUGACGCUCAGGCGCGAAAGCUAGGGGAGCGAACAGGAUUAGAUACCCUGGUAGUCCUAGCCGUAAACGUUGGGCGCUAGGUGUGGGGAGAUAUCGACCCUUUCCGUGCCGAAGCUAACGCAUUAAGCGCCCCGCCUGGGGAGUACGG
rnacentral:rRNA from 1 species